GAUGGUUUAAUAGUGUUGUGCACCCCCUUCAAGUCUCAAGUUCGAUGCCUCCUUAGUUCUUUAUAAUAUAUUGCACCCACUAAAAAAAUAUAUUGGAUUCGUCCGUGCAGUCUAUAACUCGCUUAUGGAACUUGCGGAAGCUGUCUAUCAAUCACCACUCGAAGGAAAUAUUGACGGAAUUAGAGUCAAAUUCGUUUGGAGAAGACUAUCUUCAAUGGGGUAAUGAACAGACCUUGUUUCUGAAUCGAACUUGCUAAGAUCGAAGUUGGAGAUGAGAUUUCAAGAAAUCAACUAGAUUAGAUGGUUUAAUAGUGUUGUACACCCCCUUUAAGUCUCAAGUUCCGAUGCCUCCUUAGUUCUUUAUAAUAUAUUGCACCCAC
rnacentral:lncRNA from 1 species